GGAUUACCCGCUGAGUUUAAGCAUAUCAAUAAG
rnacentral:rRNA from 1 species